rfam:Picea glauca, whole genome shotgun sequence.
AUGUACAUUCCUACAACAUAGAAUUAAUGCAUCGGAUCCCAUUAGAACUUUGCAGUUAAGUGCACUUGAGUUAGAGUAGUACUGGGAUGGGUGACCACCCGGGAAGUACUACUAUUUUACAUG